CCUACGGGUGGCAGCAGUGGGGAAUAUUGCACAAUGGGGGAAACCCUGAUGCAGCGACGCCGCGUGAGUGAAGAAGUAUCUCGGUACGUAAAGCUCUAUCAGCAGGGAAGAUAAUGACGGUACCUGACCAAGAAGCAUCGGCUAACUCCGUGCCAGCAGCCGCGGUAAUACGGAGGAUGCGAGCGUUAUCCGGAUUUAUUGGGUUUAAAGGGUGCGUAGGCGGAAUAUCAAGUCGGCGGUAAAAAUUCGGGGCUAAACCCCGUCGUGCCGUUGAAACUGAUGUUCUUGAGUGGGCGAGAAGUAUGCGGAAUGCGUGGUGUAGCGGUGAAAUGCAUAGAUAUCACGAAGAACUCCGAUUGCGAAGGCAGCAUACCGGCGCCCAACUGACGCUGAAGCACGAAAGCGUGGGUAUCGAACAGGAUUAGAUACCCCUGUAGUC
rnacentral:rRNA from 1 species